rnacentral:rRNA from 1 species
UCCAGACUCCUACGGGAGGCAGCAGUGGGGGAUAUUGCACAAUGGGGGGAACCCUGAUGCAGCGACGCCGCGUGGGUGAAGGAGCGUUUCGGCGCGUAAAGCCCUAUCGGCAGGGAAGAAGGAGGACGGUACCUGACUAAGAAGCCCCGGCUAACUACGUGCCAGCAGCCGCGGUAAUACGUAGGGGGCAAGCGUUAUCCGGAUUUACUGGGUGUAAAGGGGGCGCAGACGGCAGCGCAAGCCAGGAGUGAAAGCCCGGGGCCCAACCCCGGGACUGCUCUUGGAACUGCGCGGCUGGAGUGCAGGAGGGGCAGGCGGAAUUCCUGGUGUAGCGGUGAAAUGCGUAGAUAUCAGGAGGAACACCGGUGGCGAAGGCGGCCUGCUGGACUGCGACUGACGUUGAGGCCCGAAAGCGUGGGGAGCAAACAGGAUUAGAUACCCCUGUAG